AGAGUUUGAUCAUGGCUCAGGAUGAACGCUAGCUACAGGCUUAACACAUGCAAGUCGAGCGGUUUGUGUUUUUGCACAUUCAGCGGCAGACGGGUGAGUAACACGUAUCUAACCUUCCCCUUACUUGGGCAUAGCCUCUGGAAACGGAGAUUAAUUUCCGAUGUGGUGUACAUUUCGCAUGUUUUGCGCACCAAAGAUUUAUCGGUAAGGGAUGGGGAUGCGCUCCAUUAGGUAGUAGGUAGGGUAAUGGCCUACCUAGCCUAUGAUGGAUAGGGGUUCUGAGAGGAAGGUCCCCCACAUUGGAACUGCGACACGGUCCAAACUCCUACGGGAGGCAGCAGUGAGGAAUAUUGGUCAAUGGCCGGAAGGCUGAACCAGCCAAGUAGCGUGCAGGAUGACUGCCUUAUGGGUUGUAAACUGCUUUUUUACGGGAAUAAUUAUGAUCACGUGUGAUUAUUUGCAUGUACCGUAAGAAUAAGGAUCGGCUAACUCCGUGCCAGCAGCCGCGGUAAUACGGAGGAUCCUAGUGUUAUCCGGAUUUAUUGGGUUUAAAGGGAGCGUAGGCGGGAGGUCAAGUCAGCUGUGAAAUGUAUCUGCUUAACGGGUACACUGCAGUUGAAACUGGUUUUCUUGAGUGCGUAAGAGGCAGGCGGAAUUCGUUGUGUAGCGGUGAAAUGCUUAGAUAUGACGAGGAACUCCUAUUGCGAAGGCAGCUUGCUGGGUCGUUACUGACGCUGAUGCUCGAAGGUGCGGGGAUCAAACAGGAUUAGAUACCCUGGUAGUCCGCACAGUAAACUAUGGAUACUCUCUGCCGGCGAUAUAUUGUCGGUGGCCAAGCGAA
rnacentral:rRNA from 1 species